rnacentral:rRNA from 1 species
ACCAUGAGAGUUGGAAAUACCCGAAGUCAGUGACCUAACCGAAAAGGGAGGGAGCUGCCGAAGGUGGAGCCGGUAACUGGGUGAAGUCGUAACAAGGUAAC